CAUCAAUUUACGAGAGAGAGAAUAUACACUUCUAAAAUACCAAAUAAAAUCUCACGAAUUUAUCGCUUCUCUCUUGAUUUCGGAAAGUUAAGAUUUUGAUGCCCAACUCAACUCAACUCAUCUAACUCAACUAAGCCUCCGCUGUCUCUGUUCUGCGGCUUCUUUCGCUUCUGCUAGUUCUCCACUAUUUCUCUGCUGUCUCUGUUCUGUGGCUUCUUCUGCUUCUGCUAGUUCUCUUCUCUCUUCUAUUUAUGAUUCGACCCAUUUCUGCUUCUUAUUUUAGACAGAGUAAUCGAUUACUGAUUCUCAACUGGUGACUGCAAUAUUUUAAUUCCAAAACAUUAAUCUCCUAUUUGGCUAAUUGCUCUUUCUUGCGUACAGUUAUGGCAAGUUCAGUACAGCCAAAACGAUCAAAUCCGGUUGGAUAUAGAUUUCAUCCAACUGAUCAAGAACUGGUUGGGUAUUUUCUGAAUCGAAAGAUUCUUAAUCCUGAUCAUGACGAGAUGCCAAUUGCUGAGCUCAAAGUAUGUGAUUAUGAACCUUGGGAUCUUCCUGAUAAAUCCAAGAUAAAAUCAAAUGAUCAAGUGUGCUAUUAUUUCUUUUGUCCCCGUGAUUAU
rnacentral:misc_RNA from 1 species